CGCGCAGGCGGCUUAUUAAGUCAGUGGUGAAAUCUCUCGGCUCAACCGAGAAACUGCCAUUGAAACUGAUAAGCUUGAGUGUAGUUGUAGUAGGCGGAAUAUAGCAUGUAGCGGUGAAAUGCUUAGAUAUGCUAUAGAACACCGAUCGCGAAGGCAGCUUACUAAACUAUCACUGACGCUCAUGCACGAAAGCGUGGGGAGCAAACAGGAUUAGAUACCCUGGUAGUC
rnacentral:rRNA from 1 species